UCUGCACAUUGUUAGAGCUUGGAGUCGAGGCCGUUGGUGGCCCAUGGAGUCACAAGUGUAGGUAGUGUGCUACACGAGGGGCAAGGUUUUCGCUAACACCACGAGGGUCUCUGGCCCCAUGAGUGGAGUUUGAUAGUGGUCCUUGCUACAAGC